rnacentral:rRNA from 1 species
AUUGCCCAAUUUUCUAGUAGUGAGUCAAGCGUGCUCAGGUGGGAGUAGUACUAAGAUGGGUGACCUCCUGGGAAGUCUCCACCAGGGCGACC